rnacentral:tRNA from 1 species
AUUUAUAUAGUUUAAAUAAAACAUUACAUUUUCACUGUAAAAAUAAAAUAAUUUUUUAUAAAUA